CCUACGGGUAGCAGCAGUGGGGGAUAUUGCACAAUGGGGGAAACCCUGAUGCAGCGACGCCGCGUGGGUGAAGAAGCGCCUCGGCGCGUAAAGCCCUGUCAGCAGGGAAGAAAAUGACGGUACCUGAAGAAGAAGCCCCGGCUAACUACGUGCCAGCAGCCGCGGUAAUACGUAGGGGGAAAGCGUUAUCCGGAUUUACGGGGUGUAAAGGGGGCGCAGCCGGCGAUGCAAGCCAGGAGUGAAAGCCCGGGGCCCAACCCCGGGACUGCUCUUGGAACUGCGUGGCUAGAGUGCAGGAGGGGCAGGCGGAAUUCCUGGUGUAGCGGUGAAAUGCGUAGAUAUCAGGAGGAACACCGGUGGCGAAGGCGGCCUGCUGGACUGCAACUGACGUUGAGGCCCGAAAGCGUGGGGAGCAAACAGGAUUAGAUACCCGGGUAGUC
rnacentral:rRNA from 1 species